GUCUUUAUCUAGGCUGAUUCAUCAUACUAACGCCAUAAACCAUACUGUACUGUCUUUAUCUAGGCUGAUUCAUCAUACUAACGCCAUAAACCAUACUGUACUGUCUUUAUCCAGGCUGAUUCAUCAUACUAACGCAAUAAACCAUACUGUACUGUCUUUAUCUAGGCUGAUUCAUCAUACUAACGCAAUAAACCAUACUGUACUGUCUUUAUCCAGGCUGAUUCAUCAUACUAACGCCAUAAACCAUACUGUACUGUCUUUAUCCAGGCUGAUUCAUCAUACUAACGCCAUAAACCAUACUGUACUGUCUUUAUCUAGGCUGAUUCAUCAUACUAACGCAAUAAACCAUACUGUACUGUCUUUAUCUAGGCUGAUUCAUCAUACUAACGCCAUAAACCAUACUGUACUGUCUUUAUCUAGGCUGAUUCAUCAUACUAACGCAAUAAACCAUACUGUACUGUCUUUAUCUAGGCUGAUUCAUCAUACUAACGCAAUAAACCAUACUGUACUGUCUUUAUCUAGGCUGAUUCAUCAUACUAACGCCAUAAACCAUACUGUACUGUCUUUAUCUAGGCUGAUUCAUCAUACUAACGCCAUAAACCAUACUGUACUGUCUUUAUCUAGGCUGAUUCAUCAUACUAACGCCAUAAACCAUACUGUACUGUCUUUAUCCGGGCUGAUUCAUCAUACUAACGCCAUAAACCAUACUGUACUGUCUUUAUCUAGGCUGAUUCAUCAUACUAACGCCAUAAACCAUACUGUACUGUCUUUAUCUAGGCUGAUUCAUCAUACUAACGCCAUAAACCAUACUGUACUGUCUUUAUCUAGGCUGAUUCAUCAUACUAACGCCAUAAACCAUACUGUACUGUCUUUAUCUAGGCUGAUUCAUCAUACUAACGCAAUAAACCAUACUGUACUGUCUUUAACUAGGCUGAUUCAUCAUACUAACGCCAUAAACCAUAUUAAACAAAUCCUUUAUUGCCCUUUACAAUGUCAUGCAGUUGAUUAAUUUAUUUGAAGCCUAGAACAUGCGCGUUACUAAGCCUCUCUAUUUAUCAAUAAAAAGA
rnacentral:lncRNA from 1 species